GAUGAAGAACGCAGCGAAAUGCGAUAAGUAAUGUGAAUUGCAGAAUUCAGUGAAUCAUCGAAUCCUUGAACGCACAUUGCGCCCGCCAGUAUUCUGGCGGGCAUGCCUGUUCGAGCGUCAUUUCAACCAUCAAGCCCCAGGCUUGUGUUGGGGACCUGCGGCUGCCGCAGGCCCUGAAAACCAGUGGCGGGCUCGCUGUCACACCGGGCGUAGUAGAUUUUAUCUCGCUCAGGGCGUGCUGCGGGUUCCGGCCGUUAAAAAGCCUUUUUUACCCAAGGUUGACCUCGGAUCAGGUAGGAAUACCCGCUGAACUUAAGCAUAUCAAUAAGCGGAGGA
rnacentral:misc_RNA from 1 species